CAACAAUUGGGUAAGUUUUAUUUUACUCAAAAGUACAAUAAAAAUGUAUUUUACAGCCAUUUCUUCCCUUGCUUACAUUAGGUUUACGGUUAGAAAAACACUCUUAAUUCCAUUUGCCAUAAUGAGAUUAUUUACCAUUACCAAUAGCAAACGAAUGAAAGAUACAUUUUCUAAAGCAAUGGAACACUAAUAUUUUAGUACUCUAGUUGUCCCUGCUGAAUCGGCAUUUUAAAAUGUUCGUAACCUGUCAGCUUCAUGAAACCUAACGAUCAUUGGUUUAAAACAUUUUUGUAAACUUGAAAGUGUAGCUUGUGAUAAACAACAAAAAAAGAAAGAAAAGAAAAAUAGGGUUAAGUAUUUUACGUAUCAGAUGAAUUAACAUGAACUGCAGGGCAAGACUUCUGUAGGUGGAGCUCAUCCGAUAACUGUGCUAAGGAACCUCCUGCCGAGUUCCUUGCUAGCUGCUCGCUCGCAGCGUGGUCCUCGGCCCCGACGCGCGCUUUCGAGCUUGUUCCGCAGCGGGCGCUGAAGAGAGGCGGCCGCGUCCGGACGCUCUGAUGCGGUUGCGUACGUUUUCAGCGCUUCCCGCUCUCCACCGGUUGGACUGAGGCUUUUAAACUGCAGUCUGCUCCCGAGUCCGGCUUCCUACUCGGUCUGGUGCCCCCUGGUGCUCGUCCCCUCCACAUCUUGAGUAGUUGCGAAGAGCACAGGGGUCCAGGCAGACAAGGAUGCUUUCAAGAAAAACAUUCCAUGGCGGCAAGCCGCAUGGAUCCACAUUUCCCGGGCCCAGAGCCUUUGUAGACAUUGCAUGUGGACAUUCAGGAGCUCUAGAGAAAGAGGGGGUGUUGUUUCACGAAGCCACCAGCAGAAGAAAGGUGGAAAAUAAGUUUCAACCAACUACAAAGGCAGAAGUCAGCCCAGCCCCCCAAGUGUGGUCAAAGACCCAUAGAUCCGUAGACCUUAUCUUUUCUUGAAUCCACCGCUCCCCCAACCCCCCUUUUAUUAUUUUUCAGACAAAGCAAAGAUAGAGUUCACUAGGAUCCCCGAUUUCAGUAAGGCAGCCCUUUUUUGAGAGCCAGAAUAUCCGUCUCGGCCGGGAGCUGAGAAUGUGGCCUUAAUUGAUGAGGGGAGGAGGAUGGAAGGUAAUCCUCCGUGUCUCCUCCUCCAAUCCGUUUAAUCAAUAUUAAUUUCAUGCACAAUCUUCACAAAGUUUCUUUUCCCCUCCUCCGACUCAGAGCUCAGGCUCCGGUUAUCCUGCUUUGCCCUUCCCUUCCACCCUCACAGCCCUGCAGUCACUCAACACUACUGAGGCUCUCUCCAUUAAAGAUGAACAACAGAUCAUUUUUCAUUGCAUGGCAACCCUAAGAGCUCUCUAGCUUAGCAGAGCAUGAUGGGAG
rnacentral:lncRNA from 1 species